UACGUAGGGACCAAGCGUUGUUCGGAUUUACUGGGCGUAAAGGGCGCGUAGGCGGCGUGACAAGUCAAUUGUGAAAUCUCCGGGCUUAACUCGGAACGGUCAAUUGAUACUGUUGUGCUAGAGUACAGAAGGGGCAAUCGGAAUUCUUGGUGUAGCGGUGAAAUGCGUAGAUAUCAAGAGGAACACCUGAGGUGAAGACGGGUUGCUGGGCUGAUACUGACGCUGAGGCGCGAAAGUGUAGGGAGCGAACCGG
rnacentral:rRNA from 1 species